rnacentral:rRNA from 1 species
UACGAAGGGGGCUAGCGUUGUUCGGAAUUACUGGGCGUAAAGCGUGCGCAGGCGGCUUCUCAAGUCAGGGGUGAAAGCCCAGAGCUCAACUCUGGAAUUGCCUUUGAGACUGAGUGGCUUGAGUACGAGAGAGGUGAGUGGAAUUCCCAGUGUAGAGGUGAAAUUCGUAGAUAUUGGGAAGAACCCCGGUGGCGAAGGCGGCUCACUGGCUCAUAUCUGACGCUCAGGCGCGACAGCGUGGGGAUCAAACAGG